rnacentral:misc_RNA from 1 species
CUGCAGCAAUUUCGAAGGACAACCGACAAACGUGAGCAACGCAAAUGCGGUGAUUGAUACACUCUGAUCAUCGACUACUCUGACGAUAAGGAAUCAUUUUGCGUCAAGUGUCGAGAAAUUAACGAACGUCAAUAUAAUUUUUUACGUGGCGAGAUAUAUAAGAUACGAGUAGAGAAACCCAAGAGAACCAGUGUCUGUCUAGAAAAAAUCGUACUUUAACGUAUACGCAUUUUUUGACGUUUCGUGUUCCCAAUGGCACUGACAGGACCCGACUUGCCGAAGAUACCAGCUCGUUUGAAAGUCAUUCAGCAAUACUUGACAAUUGCGGCCAAGCACGACGAGAGGGACUGCGUUGUUAGUUACUGGUGUCGCCUUUACGCUCUUCAGAAGGGAUUGAAGUUGUCAUCGAAGACAUCGGAAGACACAAAUUUCUUGAUGAAGUUGAUAGAUUGGUUGGAAACGACAAAAAAGACGUUGCACGAUAACGAGGCUAUCACUAACGAGGUGGCUGCUCAAGCACACUUGGAGAAUUGGGCCUUGAAGCUGUUUCUGUAUGCCGAUAAGAACGACAGGGCUGGGAAUUUCUCCAAGAAUGUGAUACAAAGCUUUUACACUGCUCAAGUAUUGUAUGAUGUGUUGACGCUGUUUGGCGAACUGAGCGUAGAAGCGGCACAGAACCAAAAGUACGCACAAUGGAAAGCAGCCUACAUUCACAAUUGUUUGGUAAAUGGAGAGACUCCGGUACCAGGUCCAAUGAAGGAAGAGGGUGAAGAAAGUGACGUAGUCGAGCCAUCAAAUGAUGAUAAGGAUCCGGAGUUGAAUGAAAAUCCUGAACCUCCAUCUGAAAGUCCUAAAGACGAUGCUCCACAAAGCGAUGUUCCACCCGUUCCUGUGAAUCCACCAGCCAUGAGAACUCUGUCGUUCGAAUUGGAUGAUAAUACUGCAUGUAAAACAGAAGGCGGCGUUGAUCUAUCAGUAGAGCAAAUCAGUAAAGCUCAAAAGUUCAUCAAAUGGGCAGGCAGUGCAUUAGACUACGACGACGUACCCACUUCUGUGAUGAACCUUCGGAAAGCUUUGCAUCUCUUAACUACGGGCCAGGAGCCUGCAUAGAGAAAACAAAUAUGGAUAGAUAAUAGACAUUUAACAGCUUACUUGCGAUUAACUCGCACUAGGCUCGUCAUCUGGCCAGUAAGAAGACAGUUAAUAUUUCACAGCUUUUGCUAUAAAUUUUUAAGUACAGGAUAAUAGAAACCGUGUGAGAAAAUAACAGAAAAUAAGGCAAGUUUGUAGUAACUAGUCAAGCCUACUUCGAGUACGGUGCACUUAACUAAAUUGAAAAUGUUUACAGACUGCUUCUAGAUUUUAUUGUUGUUCAAAAUGAAAUAUACAGUUACAGUAGUUCUGCCAUAUUUAUUGAAACUACUUUGAGAGCUUUCAUAUGUAUAUUUUCUUUUAACAAGGUUUCUCGACAUCUCGACUUCAUUUAGCAGAAUUAAUGAAUUAAACUUGGUGCUUGAUGCGGGCCAGUUAUUUCAAAGGUGAAACAAGUCAACUUUUUGAGAACGUUAAAUUCACAUGGUGGAAAUUAAUUUUGAGUUGUUUCGAGAUGAACGGUCUGCAUUUCUUUAGGAAUAAUAUAUUACUUUCACAAACUGGAAUUUUCACGAUUAUUUAUAAACAAAUCUGCAACAAAACUGAUUAUAUUUGACAUCACAGAAUAGUGUAUACGCAUUUCCUGUACAUACUUAGUAUAUUUUUAUAUAUAGUUAGGAGAACAAAGGUACGUACGAAUAAAC